UACGUAGGGGGCAAGCGUUGUCCGGAAUUAUUGGGCGUAAAGCGCGCGCAGGCGGUUCCUUAAGUCUGAUGUGAAAGCCCACGGCUUAACCGUGGAGGGUCAUUGGAAACUGGGGAACUUGAGUACAGAAGAGGAGAGUGGAAUUCCACGUGUAGCGGUGAAAUGCGUAGAUAUGUGGAGGAACACCAGUGGCGAAGGCGACUCUCUGGUCUGUAACUGACGCUGAGGCGCGAAAGCGUGGGGAGCAAACAGG
rnacentral:rRNA from 1 species